rnacentral:rRNA from 1 species
AUUGAACGCUGGCGGCAUGCCUUACACAUGCAAGUCGAACGGCAGCACGGGUUCUUGCACCUGGUGGCGAGUGGCGAACGGGUGAGUAAUACAUCGGAACGUACCUUAUCGUGGGGGAUAACGCAGCGAAAGCUGUGCUAAUACCGCAUACGCCCUGAGGGGGAAAGCGGGGGAUCGCAAGACCUCGCGCGAUUAGAGCGGCCGAUGCCUGGUUAGCUUGUUGGUGGGGUAAAAGCCCACCAAGGCGACGAUCAGUAGCUGGUCCGAGAGGACGAUAGGCCACACUGGGACUGGGACACGGCCCAGACUCCUGCGGGAGGCAGCAGGGGGGAAUUUUGUACAAUGGGGGCAACCCUGAUCCAGCAAUGCCGCGUGAGGGAAGAAGGCCUUCGGGUUGUAAAGCUCUUUUGUCAGGGAAGAAACACCGGCUCUAACACAGUCCGGGAAUGACGGUACCUGAAGAAUAAGCACCGGCUAACUACGUGCCAGCCGCCGCCGUAA